UACAUUGAAACACUGGUUUCCAUAUGAUCACUGAAGUUCAGCAAUGUUGAGCCUGGUCAGUACUUAGAUGGGAGACUGCUUGGGAAUAUCAGUUGCUGUAAG